rnacentral:rRNA from 1 species
UACAGAGGUCUCAAGCGUUGUUCGGAUUCAUUGGGCGUAAAGGGUGCGUAGGCGGCGCGGUAAGUCGGGUGUGAAAUCUCGGGGCUUAACUCCGAAACUGCAUUCGAUACUGCCGUGCUUGAGGACUGGAGAGGAGACUGGAAUUUACGGUGUAGCGGUGAAAUGCGUAGAUAUCGUAAGGAAGACCAGUGGCGAAGGCGGGUCUCUGGACAGUUCCUGACGCUGAGGCGCGAAAGCUAGGGGAGCAAACGGG